GGCAGCAGUGGCGAAAUAUUUGAUUUUCAGUUUUUGCGGCCGGAAAAGAGGCUUGUGGUUUUGGCGGGAAGGAGCAGAGAGAGGCAGAGAGUGAAGGAGUGAAAGAUCAAAGAUGGCGAACAAGCUCAUCAAGCAGAUGGGAUUGCCAAAUUCCAUUGCUAACAUCUUCACUGCUCGCAACAUCAUCACUGCCAAGGAUGCAUUGUCUCUGACUGAAUUUGAGUUGAUGGAACAAUUGGACGUUGGGAUGGCAGAAGUAAAAUCUGCAAUGGCACAUAUCAGUGAAGUUGUUUGUCCGCCUUGUCAAACUGCAUUGCUUCUGAUGGAGCAGCGAGUGCGCGAUGAGAGAUCGGCCGGUCAUCUUCCAACUCGUUUGAGAGGAUUGGAUGAAGCCUUGUGUGGCGGCCUACCCUUUGGUGUUGUGACAGAGUUGGUUGGUCCUGCUGGAAUUGGCAAAACGCAGUUUUGCUUGAAGCUCUCACUGCUGGCAUCUUUGCCGGCAAAUUGUGGAGGCUUAGAUGGGCGUGUCAUAUAUAUUGAUGUUGAAUCCAAAUUUAGUUCAAGAAGGUUGAUACAGAUUGGAAUAGAGAAUUUUCCUGAAAUAUUUCUCAAGAAAGGAAUGGCACAGGAGAUGGCUGGUAGAAUCGUUAUUCUGCGUCCCACAUCACUUUCUGAGUUCACUGAGAGUUUGCACCAUGUCCAAGUAUCACUCCUCCAGAAACAAGUGAAGUUGCUCAUUAUUGAUAGCAUGGCUGCCCUUGUUUUAGGUGAGCAUGAUUGUGGAGCUUCUAGACAACAAGUAUUGGGUUGGCAUGUUUCUUUUAUCAAGUCACUUGCAGAAUUUUCACGAAUUCCAAUAGUAGUGACAAAUCAAGUAAGAUCUCAAACUGGUGAUGAACCUCUUACGUUUUCCUUUCAAGCACGAAGCCACUCUAUAAAAAAAGAAGAUCGUGCUUCAUAUGAUUCUCAUCUUGUUGCUGCUCUGGGCAUUAAUUGGGCUCAUGCUGUGACCAUCCGUCUUGUACUUGAGGCCAGAUCAGGUCAAAGAUUUAUCAAGUUAGCAAAAUCUCCCAUUUCUCCUCCUUUGGCUUUCCCUUUUAACAUAACUUCAUCAGGGUUGGUUCUUCUGGAUGAUGAUGGGAUAGAGAUGAAAGGAUCAGAAAUAAACACUAUCCACUGCCAAGGCCAAAAAGCUUUGUUCAAUUCUGAAUGGUGAAGUAGACCAGUUGCCUUAACCUGCUCAAUUAAUCCCUUUCUCCAAGACAUUACCAGUUUUAAAUUCAGGUUCACGGAAAAAAUCAUGUGCUGAAGCCUUGUUUGUCUCACGAAGACAUUAAAAAGCCUCCUAUCUUCUUCGGUAAUGUAACAAUAUUUUUUUAGAAUAAAAAACUCUUUAUAAUUGAACUGAUUUUUUGAAUUAAUUCAUUAAAAUUUGACGUAAUAGAAAAAUAAAAAUAUAAAAAUGAAGAUUUUUUUUAAAU